rnacentral:misc_RNA from 1 species
GAUGAAGAACGUAGCGAAAUGCGAUAAGUAAUGUGAAUUGCAGAAUUCAGUGAAUCAUCGAAUCUUUGAACGCACCUUGCGCCCUUUGGCUAUUCCGAAGGGCAUGCCUGUUUGAGUAUCAUGAACACCUCAACUCUCAUGGUUUGCCAUGAUGAGCUUGGACUUUGGGGGUCUUGCCGGCCUAUGGGUCGGCUCCUCUCAAAUUAAUCAGCUUGCCAGUGUUUGGUGGCAUCACAGGUGUGAUAACUAUCUACGCUUGUGGUUUUCCACCAGGCAACCUUCAGUAAUUGGGGUUCACUGGGGCUCACAAAUGUCUUUCUUCAGUGAGGACAGCUCUUUGAAUGUUUGAUCUCAAAUCAGGUAGGACUACCCGCUGAACUUAAGCAUAUCAAUAAGCGGAGGA